rnacentral:lncRNA from 1 species
CUUUUAGCUCCUCAUUCCGCAAGGAUCGCAAGUGAGUUCAGCAAGGAUAAAGUGACGCUCUAGAGGUUAAGGUGGAGCGAUGAAGAGACAGCUGUUACCUCAGUUAAGGAAAACAAUCAUCAUUUCCCACCCUUUGCUCUGCAUCUCCACACCCCAACCUGGGUGCAAUCUUCAGCACACUUCCAGUUCUCUGUGCUCAGUCUACAUUCCAUCCCAUUGGCUGAGUCAUCUUUUCCUUUGUAUUUUUCGCUUCUGUAAUUGUGUAAAAGUGUGGUUGUGGUAUUUCUGCCUGUUUCUGUCAUAUACUUCUUGUUCUAUUUAAAUGCACAUUCUACACCUAUAUUUAUCUUAUAGUAUUAUUUAGAUUAUUCCAUAAAAGUCACUACCUCUGCAAUAAGUUAGUGUUCUGAUUGUUGGUGAUUGUCUUACUUAAAUUCUUCACAUUGUUUUAGAAUUUCAGUUGGUGAGUUAAUUCUAGCAGAAUGAAUAAACAGUUCUCUCCUUCCUCAAAGCUCCCCUCUUACCACCUAGUAAUUUUAUAUUUGUCUCUACUCAGUCCCUGGUCCUUCAGUCCAGUCUAGACUGCCGUUCUGGGGAUGUAGUGGACAUCACAGACUGAGUCACAAAGGGGAGGCUGGGUUCACUUCCUGGUCACCAGGCAGCUUGCAUAACGGUAUCACCUUCCUGCACUCUGCAGAAAUUUUCUCAGCCUCCUCUUUGAGUGGGGGAGCCUCAGCUCAGUUCCCGGUUUCCAGCAGUGAGGCUGGCUUAGGUCCCGUCUCAAGAGAGGAGCUCUGGGACUGUUGCAUUGAUGGGUUUUGAAUCCAUACCAGUGAGUUCUAGAAGCACAUUCCUGACCACCAAGCUGUCUUGCCUAGUGCCAUGGCACACAGAUGCGGGACCAGAGGUUGAAGUGCCAUGAGAAUGUCCCCUGAGCUCAGUUAUACAGAAUAAACAAAUUGCAGUGGAGGAGCCAGAAGUUAGUCUUCAGAAA